AUGAAGUUUGAAAGUUUUGAGGAGGCUAUUGCUCACUACAAGCUAUAUGCACUCAGAAAUGGAUUUGGGACAAGGAUAGCUUACACAAGAACACUGAAGGACAACAUAGUGAGCAGAGCACUCCUGGUGUGUGGGAAAGGCGGCAAGCCAAAGAGGAAGAAGGAGGAGGAGCAGGAUGUACUGAACCCAGAAGGUAUUGUGAAGAAGAGAAAAAGGCGUAAGGUUAAGAGGUCUGAAUGUCCAGCCCACCUUUACCUUACGCACAAGGAUGCGUGGUGGAGAGUCGAACGCUUUGAUGAUAACCACAACCAUCCACUGAUAAGAAAGCCAUCUCUGACAAAAUUUCUAGCCUCACAUAGGAACAUUCCCAAAGACGAGCAAGAUUUCUUACGGAUUCUACAUGAAUGCAACAUAGAAACCGCAAGGCAAAUGCAACUAAUUUCAUGGUUCUAUGGUGAUGCUAAGAAUGUACCAUACACAACACAGGACAUGUCGAAUCAGCGAGCCAAGUUUCGCAAGGAGUACCGUAAUGUAGACGUGGGGAGCACAAUUGCAUACUUUGAGGAGCUCAGGGCAAAGGAUCCAGAUUUCUAUUGGAGCAUGAAACUUGAUGAUGAAGACAGGGUGGAAAACGUGUUCUGGAUAGAUGGUUGUGGUUUCAUUCGAAACGAACUGACUGACAACUUUGUGUGGCUGUUUAACACAUUCUUGCAUGCGAUGGGUGGGGUUGCACCAAAGAACAUAAUCACAGAUCAGGACUUUGCCAUGAGGAAUGCUAUUGACGAGGUGUUCAUCGGGAUAGUACACAGAAAUUGCAGAUGGCACAUUAUGAAGAAAGCACAAGAGAAGCUUGGGAGGUUAAUGGCCGAUGAUGAACCACUGAAGUACUACAUGCACGACUUCUUCCCGUUCUUGCAGACAAUGGCAAGGAGCGAAGGAUUCAACGCUGUGUUGAAGAAGUACGUCAACCCAAAUAACUCGCUAGUGGAAUUUGCAAAAUAGUACACUGCAAUACAGGAGAAGGUGAUGGUGAGCGUGUCAAAAGAGCACCUGGAAACAGUGUACAAAGAGGUGGAAACAUACUCCUUCAACCCGCUCGAGUUACAGGUGCAGGGCCUCUACACGCAUAAUAUUUUCACCAAAUUCCAGAUGGAGAUGAAGGUGAAAACUGGCUAC
rnacentral:rRNA from 1 species